UUUUGCUUAGCUUAAAUAAAAGCGUUAGCCUUUUAAGCUAAUUAUUCAUACUUUUUGAAGUAAGGU
rnacentral:tRNA from 1 species